AAGACACAUGCAGUUAACUCCAGAAUUACCCCAAACGCAAAUUGUUUACUGCUAUAUUUACAUUCAGACAUUCUGAUGAUUGUUUAUUUACAUAUUUAUUUAUUAUCUGCUGAUUCUAUGGUAAAGGUGGAAAUGAACAGGAGCUUCCUGAUGAUUCAGCGCUGACAGGAGAAACGUGUAGACUCUAUACAAUGAGAAUAAAAUCACUAACUGCCAUAUUCAGUGUUAAUAAGUCUGGGCGCAUGUGCCCAUUGUCUAAGCUUUCCUUUCAGCACUACGCAUGUGGACAGCAAUCCUCUUAUUUGCAUUGUUUUUUAUUUUCCCCCUCUAAAUUCUUCCUCAGAUAAAUGCAUCCCAGACUGUAUUUGAUUUAUGUUUAAAGUAAUUAAAAAAUCUGUUUUUCUUCUGGUCAGUGGGAACAUUUUUUAUUGUUAGCUAUGUAUUUAUUAGAGACAAGAACAGAAAAUAACUAUGGGGUGCAUAUUCUCUUCAUCUCGCUCUAUCUAUAUAUUUAAAAAUAGUCGGAAAAGACGAGAAACUGCGAGCAAAUCGGAGUUUUGGCAGCAAGAGUGUCUGCAGAUGUGAACACAUUCACACAUACCAUCUCUCCGCCCUCCCUCAGAAAUCAUAUUUAACUAAGAUUAUGUCAAAUUUCAAAGAUCGGAAAUGUCUUGCCCAAAAGCCUUUCCCAUAGGAAAAAGUCAAAAGGGUUCCUGGCAUUAAAACGACUUCGCGUCAGUCCUGAUGAAAUUAGCAUCCCUGCGUUUUUAGAUACUUGUUAUGGCUGUACUUUGAUCACAGUAAGAAGGAGUAAGAGUUUUUUUUAUCCCCCAGUUGAACAGGAGUGUUCUGCUUUUCUAGAUGGGAAUCCAGAGACAAACAUGUUAAAAGCCUUUUAGACUUACAGGCUGUAUUUUUACUUUUCUUUAAGUGCAAGUGAUAGGAAUUGCUAACCCUGGUCAAGAAAAUUUCAUUUCCCCCAUCCUGCUAAACGGCUCUGGUCGACAUAUGUUUAUUAUCAGAGAGAGGUGCUAUGAACACAGAGCCAUUUUCUUAGCAGCUUUUUGACUGUAUGUUACCAUAGUCCCACACGGCAUUGGUCCUUUCCCAUUGGGAAGUCAUGAAUAAGAGACUAUGAAGCUUGCACGUCAGGUCUUCCUCAAUUAAUCCACCGUUAGCAUGUUUGGGAUCCACUACUGGAUGGUUAACAGCGGCUUGGGUAACUGUAUGCUGUCCAUACCCAAUUAUGCUCUGCUAAAAAUGAACUCUGCAGACCAACCUUCUUGAGCUGUCAGUGUCUCCCGUUUUCCCAUUUUAACGUUCGCAUGUAGUGGCAGGCGACAGAUGGUGUAGAUCAGAUCGAUUUGAUUGCAUUAGGCCAUUUUUCCCCUCCUUUCCGUCCGACUCCUUUUCUGGAAGCCCACAUCAUCUGAAAGGCGAUCGCCGGGGACUCGGAAAGCACCAGCAGCCGCCGAUGUGUGAAGGCAACUGGGCACGGCCAGGCAGAGGCGCCGGGCUUCGUUCCCAGGGCGCAGUAAUCCGGCACCAGGAGAGAAAGCUGCGUUCUGCUGCCCAGAGCCUAUUCCCCGCCACAUAUCAGAUGACUCCCUGGUUUUACACACAGUUGGAGUUCUGCUUGAAACCUGGAUUUAAAGGGGAUCUGUUGCUGUGAGUGACAUCUAUUCCAAGCACCCAGAGAGAACUGAUGGAGCACACAGAUGGGAAUAGGAUGCCAGGCAAGCACAGAGGAAGAAAUCAGGGAAUCACCAGGACUGGAAGUACAGCAGCCAUUGGAUAAUGGGACGGGAUCAGUCGGCAACUCUGUGGAUUCUCCUCCUUCCUCUGUAGGGGAAAUAUAGUUAUGGAUUUAUUGCCCCGGUGCAGCAGUUCCAGCAGCAGCAGCAGCAGCAGCAGCAACAGCAAAAGCCUCAGCAGAUUUCUGACUCUCUUCGGUGACGGGUAUUCUUGGGUGGAUAAUACGGAUUACGUUGUUAUUGCUUAAGAAUACGCGUAGUCGAGGAGAGUACCCGCGGCAGGCAGGCAGGCAGGCAGCGGCCGCCCCCAGCCCAGCAGCUGGCUCCUAAUCUACUAUAGUUGCCAAGGUAGUCCCUUUUUAAUCUUUUCCUGCACUUUGCUAUGUCUCUAUGUCUGUGAUUAGGUGAUCCCAGGGGUUGCUAUGUACACGGCAGGGGUAGGAGACUCUGGUGAUGAGCCUAGUCUUGUGCAUCCUAGGGUAGUUCCCCAGGCUUCUCUUUCCCCAAAGCGUGUGAGCGUGACAGGCUGCAGCGCCAAGCCCGUGUCUGGCUGGGACAGUGCCGAGUCGAAAGGGAGGGGGAGGAGGAGGAUGUGUCUAUGACCUUUGUCCUCAUGUGUCCGCGACCCCCUCCCCAUGAAUGCUGUGAAAUACUGAGCUGUCUUUCUGGUUUGGGCACUUAGCAGAGCGCCAGGCGAUGGCCCUGGGGUAGGCAGGGAGGAGAGAAAACCUCCCGCGACCUAAACCCGGGGGAGAAAAGGGGACUCGCCUGAGAUCGGCGUUGUAAUCUGUUGCUGGAGCUGCAUGGUUGCCAGGGAGUCUGUAGGGAGCUGCCUGGCUGGUCUCCCGAUGGUGGCAGGCAGGUGUCGAGGGCUGGGAACGGGGUUGAAAGACGAUUAGACGAGCUCAGAGGGGGGCCCAAUCCCGCAACUCUUGCUCAGGCAUCCUGCCCAUUGGCUUCCACUGGAGAUUACAUCAGUUUCCGUGGGAGUUUUGGGUGCGCAGGGGACCCAGACUGGAGACUCACUGGAUAGUACUCGAAUUACCCCUUGAACCCUCUUGCGCCGAUUCCCUUAGAGAAGGCGAGCAGAGAAACACGAUCCCUGGUGCAGUGCAGAACCCGGCAUAGAGAGCGCGCGACAAAGCUGCGCCAGGACGGGCACAAGCAGUUGUUUGCUGAUGAUCGGGUUACACGUAGUCGCCUUUAUUCCCUGUGUGGGUCUGGCUAGCCAUGGGCUAAGCAAGCAGCCUAGGCACUAUUUGGCCUGUGCAAAUUCACUUCGCAGGGCAUCAGUACCCAGAACACACAGUCCGCCUGCCCACGCUGCCAGUGCAUCGUAACGUUUCAAAUAUGGGUCCGAAGCAGGUUUUUUAUUCUCCUUCAUAGGGUCUGAUCCUGGCGGCCGAGGGGGCUCGCUCCUCCGUGGCGUUGGUCCCUGGUGUCAGAGACCCCACAGUAGAGCUCACCCCGCUUCCCCCCAUGCUGCACUCUCCUGGGAGUGGUGCUCCCGGGGUCCGGGACCGCACAGCGCACCCAUCGCCUGAAUUCCGCCGGGGACGUUUCUUGCCCUAAUCCUUCUCUAUGGGUUCAGGGAAGCUCAGCUCAGUAGCUGGGAAAAGAGAAGACAAACCCCCGCCUAAAGACAGAGACAUGGGAAACGCUGUCAAGCCCUGGUCUUGGCAAGAAGCAACAUGGGGCCAGAGCUAGCACGCCAGCGAGUGCCCUAGAGCCCCUGGUUUCUAAUGCAAGGAGCGCAGAGGAGGAAAUAAACACUCCAAAGAGAUCUCCUGGCCUCCAGUAGAAGGCUACAGGUCUCAUGAAUUCCUGGGGAACUCAAGUGACAGAGUUAAUCUAAAGAGCAGCUACCCAAAGGCGUUACACCUGCUGGAGCAUUCAUAUAGGUACAGCCAGACAGCGAUAGACGAGGAAUUUGCUGUUGAGUUAAAACUUCCCCAUGGCAGAGUAUUUUCUGAUUUCUGCUCAUCCUCUCACUUCAUCUUUUCCCUUAAUUAAGCAAAUGAACCUCCAGCCUAAAUUGCCAACUUUCGCUUAUAAGCCUUUCCUGACAAGAACAACGCAAACUUCUUUUUUAGCAAAUCCGCCUCCAAGUCAAAGUAUAUCCCCAUGGUCCCCUUUUUAACAUUGCAAACUGCUGGUGUAGUCUGUGGCCUUCUGCAACUGCCGCCCACAGCCAGAACGAGAGCCCGUUGGGGCAAUGUCAUAUUAAGAAAUAAUAGGCAGGCGCAAGAAAGCAAAACAAUUUUUCCCUUCUGGGGUCUUUUUUCGGGGGGGGGGGAGUGGAGGAAGGUUGUUACACAGUUUGAAUUUUGUUGAGCUCAAAAGGCGAUAACAGAUUUUGUCCCGCCCACACGCUUCAGGGAUCCCAACUUCCUUGCUAGCCUGUCACGGUUUUUACCAUGGUGCCUCUAGCCCAGUCGGCCGCGUUCGAGCUGUUCACAGCAUCUUCUCUGGACUGAAACGAGAGUUUGAUGCAUGUCGCCCAGUGUAGGGAAACGGAGGCAGGGGCCUUUUGGAAGGAGCCUUUUAUGGCGACAGCACAAUAGGCACUGCCUGGCUUUGCUUUGCUUUGUUUUGUUUUUUAAAUAGAAAGCCGCCUCCCCUUUUCAGAGAGAGCACACGAGAGGAGAGAAAAGUGUUCUGUCCAGCUUGAUACUUCUGCGAUCGGUGCUGAGGGAAAGCCAUUGUCCGUCGCACCCGGGGCACUGUGUCCGGGCUAAAACCUACAGCAAGGGCUCAUUAGAAGGGAUUCCUGGGGGAAUGUCAGAAAAUUCCUGGGCGGGAGACCUAAAUCUAAAAGAAAUCAUAGCAAACCCUAUUUAACUGAACCACACGAUAUGCUGGACCUUGUAGUAGUGAUUGAUCUAGAAUGCUUAAUCAACAUCAAUAGCCUUUCUCCAUAAGUUCCCAACAGGAUGCAGCACUAGAACUGUGCAAAUGUAUUUGCCAGUUUAAGAGCUUUUCUUUUUUUAACAAUAAUAUGUAAAGCAAAAAGCGAAUAGCUUUAGAAAGAGAGGGAGGAAAUUAAAAUUUUAAAUCACAAUUGGAUGAUUUAUCUUGGGAAUUAACUAUUUUGCUUCAGGAGAUAACCUCUUUGCAUAGGCUGCCAUUCCCCACUGGUCAGUCCUGCACAAGAUUUGAAUCUGUAGAGUAACUGCAUUGUAUGUGCUAUUCAGCUGGAUACAGGUGCUGACACUGGCUGAGCCUGAAUGUCUUGUCGUGUGUUACCGUGUAACAGUAAACAGUCUUUACUCAGCUGCAGCUGGGUGUGCAAAGGGUGAAUAGUGCUAAAAUGAGCUUUCUUUACUACUAGCGCUGAACUAAAUCCUGAAGUCCUCGUCUCCCAAUACCAUUUAUGCUUUAGGUGACAGUAAAACAAAUGGCCUGGCUGCAUAAGCUCUCGUUUUUCCUUCUUUUGUCAGUCAAGAAAUCCCAGCCCCUAAGUUUGUGGUUUAUAGUUUGUGGCCCUGACUUUCUCUGGAGUAUAUCACAGCCACAAAGCUGGGGUUGCCAGUUUGAUCUCUUCAUGUAAAAUCAAAUGUAGGCAAAGAGAUCCCUGUCGGCUACACAGAAGGGGAAAGUUCAUGUCGGGGCCUUAUCCCAGGAAGUGUAUGGAAUAAAAUAGCCUGAAAUGCGAGAGGCGGGCAGGCUGAUGUGAAAAAAAUAGGCUGCAGGGCUAAACUUCCCAGUUUUAUAAGGUAACAAAGGUGGGGCAUAGUUUGGACAAAACAGGUACACUCGGCCCACUUAUUCCAGCCAACAUAGCUUAGCAGCACAGCUAGAGCUCUGGCUGGAAGUUGGGUUAACGUUUAAACUGCAGAGCUCAGAUUGGAAGUCAAAGCCAUGGCAUUCAUACCCUCAACUUCCAGUUCAUUCUCUCUCCGUCCCACUCCACAUACAGUAGACACAGAGACUUAGAUAGGCACACAGGCGCACUCAUCCACAGGUUUUUUUUCUGCUUUUUUCUUUUUAAACUGGUAAUAGCGGGGAGCCUGGCAUAAUCCACCCAGUCUUUUUCCCUUCCCUCUUCAAAGGCAUAGAUAAUGCCACUUCUUUUGAUGCUACCCAUGUAUAAAUGUGAGCGCAGUGAAUUAGAUUAGAAGCCAUUUUAGGCAAACACAGAAGUGUGGUGAUGGAAUAGGAUAUUUUAGGAUGGAGCCUUCCAUAUACUCAGUUAUGAUGAUGAUUAUUUUUAACAAUGAUAGUCAAGAUUUUAGUGGUGAUGAAUUUGCGCAUAUAAGGUGGGGCUCGUCGAGAAUUUCCCUCUCUUGCAUAGCAGUUGAAAGACCAUCUAUGUUCAGCUUAAUUAUUUCAAAGUGCUAAAGGACUUUUACCCUUCAAUAGAGAGUGGAGCUCUCAUUGUGACACAGACAUAUGUAGAUCUGUUAUUCUUUAGACAUUUUGUUUGAUAACAGCACUGUGAUCAUCUUGGUUCUCUAAUAUCACUUGAAAGCAGUUUUUAUUUGUAGUUUCCUAUGUUCAGCGGCUGCAGAAAUAAUGUGAAAUUGCACUUUAAAAAGUCACGCAGAAAGCUAAGAUCAGUUGCUAAAUGAUAGUCAGUUUCAGCACCGUCACACACCUAUGUUCAUAAUUGCUGCAAGAACAGCAAUUGAAACGCCAGGUUUAUAUUAUAAACCUUCCUCUGAUCUAAGCUUUUAGUUGACAUUUUCCCUUGAGUCAUGACUUAGAGUAUUAUCAUGAGUUCCCCUUUCAUCACACAAAGGAUGUGGUUUUGUUUGCUUUUUUGUUUUGGUUGAGUAUCUUGUGCAGUAAAGAUUGGACUUAGUUUUAUCCAUAUAUAUAAGCUUAGCAAAACAUCUUGUUGUACUUUGUUUCUUAUAGCUACUUUCUCUUUAAUAUGAUUAGCUGUUUCUGCUGAAUAAUACCUUAAUGAUAGGGCUGAUGCAUUUUUAAUGCAUGUACUCUUUGUCAUUGACUAAAUUAACAUUUUGAUGAUUGUAGAUUUUUUUCCCCUCUAAAAUCUUUAGGGGAUUGCUAUGUUAUGUGCUUACUAACAGCUGAAAUAUAAAGUCUGAUCAGAGAAAUAUUAAGUGUGGUCAUCAAAAUUAGUUGGAAAAAUGUUGUUUAAAUGCUCAAUUGCAUAAAGGCUGCUAGAAUUACAUUUCCCAACAGCCUCCUUAAAGAAACAACCUUUGAGUUUCAGUAGUAACUCUUGGGAUCUGACACACACACGUUUACAUCCAAACUCAUAAAAAUCAGCUAGGUUUGACUUCCAAGCAACACAUCAAUAAGAAUAAGCUGUGCAUACAAAGGGCCUGUUUCUGUGAACAUUUGGCUUCAGUGGGACUUUUUGUGGGAACACAGUUACUCAUGUAUACAGCUAAAGGAUUCAGGGCCCAGUUCUCCCAUUCAAGUCAAUGGCAUAACACCAACUGACUUCACUGUGGACAGGAGAGGGUCCUAGUUCUAAAGGUUUUUAACAAGAUUUAUAGCAUUUAUUUCACUAGUUUUACAUGUGAACCCUGACCACCGAAAGUUUAAUCUGUUCUGUAAAUGUCUUAAUCCUGUAAAGACUUGCAUCUAUGAGUAACUUUACACAUAUGAGUAGUCAAUAGGACUACUGUGUGACUAAAGUUACUGGUGUGUAAUUCUUUGAAGGAUCAGGGCCUUCUUUUGUAAAUGUAACUGGCUUUAGGAGUAAGUCCAUAAAAACAAUCAAAUGCUACCCUGACUUAGAAGUCUGAUCCUGCAAAUUGCUGAGCCAUUCUUGAGAGAUGCUGAAUGCUUUCAGCUCCCACUGAUUUCAACAGGAAGUGAGACCACUCAACCCUUUGCAGGAAUGGGCCAUUAAGCCUGUAUAAGUCCAUAGGAAUUGCAUGGGUGCAAAUGAAAGCAGAAUAUGUCCCAAGAGAAGAUUUGCUUUAUUAAAAAUAGGAGAAUUCAUUUCUAUUUUCCAUUGCAGUCAAAGAAACACCACCCUGCGUUGGUCUACUCACAGUAGCUAGCACUGCCCUUGGUAGUAAGCGUUUGCAAACUCAGGUCCUAAAUUAAUUGAUCUGCACUUCAGUCUGAUUUCAUGUACCCUUUCCCAUAACAAACACCUCUCUGAUACAGGUAAGUACACUUUACAGAAGGGCAAAUACAUGAAAAAUGGAUCUUGCUGCUAUAAGGCUGAUUCAAACAAAAAAAUCUAACUUUUGCAGUCCCGACAUAGGCUAAAGUCCCACUGACCUCUGCAAGGACUGCAGGAUUAGACUGUGAUCUAUGUUCCAUAGCCUCCUCCCACAUGCAAAUUUGUCAAAAACAAGGGUCAUACCACAAGGUACAGCACAAUAGCUGGAUUGCAUCAGGUUAGGCAGGUUUUAUUCCUUUCUGACCAAUCCUGCUUUCUGAUGCAUCCAAGAGCCUCACUGAUUUCAAAGGGCAUUUGGGGUUCACAUAAAAUGUAGGAACAGACACUAGCCUUUCAGAUUUUAUGCUCAAGUUAUUUCUAUAAUAUUUAAUUGCACUUCACCAGCCUAGGUGACUGCCAAGAUUCAGAGAAUUUUCUUCAAGAAACACACAUAAUCUGUCAUCUAUCCCUCUGCACCUUUAAUUGUGCUUCAUGAGGACUAAGCAAACUGGCCUUUUCCUUUAGAUUUAAAUCUCCCAUUAUUGUAUAGCUAUACAGUUGGAAUUUUAUGUUUUGCAAGCAUUGUAUACAAUUAUACAGUGGGCUUCUGUAUCAUUUUUUUAAAAUGUAACAUUUUAUUAUAAAGCAACAAGAAGAGAUUUAUUAUAUUUAGCUAUUAUAUUAUCUGCUAACAUUUUUUUGAAACUAUAACACCAAUUACAGAUCAUCACAAAAUGUUACAGGAUUCAACUUUUACUCCCUCAAACAUUUAAAUAUGGAAACAUUUAUUAGAGAAUCUCCCCUGAACCUUACAUUCCUUUAAUAUUUAUGAUUUAGAAACCAAAGUUAUUCAAAACUCAAAUGUCUCAUUGGUCUAGUGUGCAUUUUAUCAUAUAACUAACAUCCAUAGAUAUGAAAUGAAACAAUAUGAAACAGUGGGCCCUAGAGAAAUUAGGGUAAUAGGUGGAAAAUAGCAAAAGGACUCAGAUUGGAAAAGAAUCAGAGUUCACAUCAACUCUGGAGAAAUAGCCUGAAACACACGUAUUCAAAGGGAGCGAGAAUCCUGGAGAAGUGUAAAGCUGUAAGAGGCCUAGAGGUGACAGUGGAGAGUAAAUUAGACAUUACUUUGCAAAAUGAUAUGGCAGGAAAAACCACUAAUGACAUUUGGGGCUGAAUGUGCAGAGAUAUUGUAUCAGAAAACAGACUGGAAAAAUCAUGCAACAGCUGUGUGUGUGAUCUCACUUGGAUUAUUAUAUUCAGUCUGGGGAUUAUAUUUCCAAAAAUAUAGUGACCAGUUGGUGGCAGAUGAGAGAAGAACAGAAAAAAAUAAUCCAAGGGGUGGAUGGACUGAUUUAUUAGUAAGUAAGAGAGCCAAUGGUUUAAAUGAAAGCAAUGAAUAACCAAGAUUUCCAUUCUAGAAGGGAGAGAGCCUUUGCAGGGUGAUGCAUGAGGGCAUGUCUGGGACACAUGGGAUGAAAUUAAGAAAGGUAAAAUUCCAGCUGGAUUUCAAGAAAAACUUCCUUUAAGUGGGCCCAAUACUGCUCCCAUUUUAGCCAAUUGGAGACUAUAGAAAGCAGUGAAAGAGCCUCCAAGGGGAAACCUCUUGACUUGGGAAAUUUAAAACUAGAUUGGCCAAACUACUAGAAAAGGUACUGCAGGGAACAAUCAUCCUGCAUUGUCAGGGAGAUUGAAUUUUAGAGGUCUUUCUCAUCUCUAAAUUCUGUGAUAUGAUUCUAUGAAAUUGAAAUGACUCCGGUAUUUCUCUGAUAUUUUGUGCCAUUAGAAAGAAGUAGGGCCAUUACUGUCUUUGAAAGUUUCCAAGUAACUCUGUCCAAGUGAGUAUAUUUCAGAUGCACUGUAGAAACUCAUAUCCAUCUUAGUCUCUUAUCUGUUUCAAAGUCAGUUGUCACCAUAAAUUGUUCUGUAUUAGUUUAUUUGAAUUUAUAUGUAAUGUAUACCCCUUUCAAAUUAUUAAACAUUAGGUAUGAAAUCA